rnacentral:rRNA from 1 species
UACGUAGGGUGCAAGCGUUGUCCGGAAUUAUUGGGCGUAAAGAGCUCGUAGGCGGCUUGGCACGUCGACUGUGAAAACCCGGGGCUCAACUCCGGGCCUGCAGUCGAUACGGGCUGGCUUGAGUGCGGUAGGGGAGACUGGAAUUCCUGGUGUAGCGGUGAAAUGCGCAGAUAUCAGGAGGAACACCGGUGGCGAAGGCGGGUCUCUGGGCCGUAACUGACGCUGAGGAGCGAAAGCGUGGGGAGCGAACAGG